AGUGAACGCUGGCGGUAGGCCUAACAUAUGCAAGUCGAACGGCAGCACAGUAAGAGCUUGCUCUUACGGGUGGCGAGUGGCGGACGGGUGAGGAAUACAUCGGAGUCUACUUUUUCGUGGGGAAUAACGUAGGGAAACUUACGCUAAUACCGCAUACGACCUACGGGUGAAAGCAGGGGAUCUUCGGACCUUGCGCGAUUGAAUGAGCCGAUGUCGGAUUAGCUAGUUGGCGGGGUAAAGGCCCACCAAGGCGACGAUCCGUAGCUGGUCUGAGAGGAUGAUCAGCCACACUGGAACUGAGACACGGUCCAGACUCCUACGGGAGGCAGCAGUGGGGAAUAUUGGACAAUGGGCGCAAGCCUGAUCCAGCCAUACCGCGUGGGUGAAGAAGGCCUUCGGGUUGUAAAGCCCUUUUGUCGGGAAAGAAAAGCAGCAGGUUAAUACCCCGCUGUUCUGACGGUACCCAAAGAAUAAGCACCGGCUAACUUCGUG
rnacentral:rRNA from 1 species